CAGCACCUCAAGUGGUCAGGAUGAUUAUUGGGCCUAAAGCAUCCGUAGCCGGCGCUGUAAGUUUUCGGUUAAAUCUGUACGCUCAACGUACAGGCUGCCCGGAAUACUGCAGCGCUAGGGAGUGGGAGAGGUAGACGGUACUCGGUAGGAAGGGGUAAAAUCCUUUGAUCUAUUGAUGACCACCUGUGGCGAAGGCGGUCUACCAGAACACGUCCGACGGUGAGGGAUGAAAGCUGGGGGAGCAAACCGGAUUAGAGACCCGAGUAGUCC
rnacentral:rRNA from 1 species